GAUGAACGCUGGCGGCGUGCCUAAUACAUGCAAGUCGAGCGAACAGAUGAGGAGCUUGCUCCUCUGACGUUAGCGGCGGACGGGUGAGUAACACGUGGAUAACCUACCUAUAAGACUGGGAUAACUUCGGGAAACCGGAGCUAAUACCGGAUAAUAUAUUGAACCGCAUGGUUCAAUAGUGAAAGACGGUUUUGCUGUCACUUAUAGAUGGAUCCGCGCCGCAUUAGCUAGUUGGUAAGGUAACGGCUUACCAAGGCAACGAUGCGUAGCCGACCUGAGAGGGUGAUCGGCCACACUGGAACUGAGACACGGUCCAGCCUCCUUCGGGAGGCAGCAGUAGGGAAUCUUCCGCAAUGGGCGAGAGCCUGACGGAGCAACGCCGCGUGAGUGAUGAAGGUCUUCGGAUCGUAAAACUCUGUUAUUAGGGAAGAACAAAUGUGUAAGUAACUAUGCACGUCUUGACGGUACCUAAUCAGAAAGCCACGGCUAACUACGUG
rnacentral:rRNA from 1 species